rnacentral:rRNA from 1 species
CCUACGGGUGGCAGCAGUGAGGAAUAUUGGUCAAUGGACGAGAGUCUGAACCAGCCAAGUAGCGUGAAGGAUGACUGCCCUAUGGGUUGUAAACUUCUUUUAUAAAGGAAUAAAACGUGGCACGUGUGCCUUUUUGUAUGUACUUUAUGAAUAAGGAUCGGCUAACUCCGUGCCAGCAGCCGCGGUAAUACGGAGGAUCCGAGCGUUAUCCGGAUUUAUUGGGUUUAAAGGGAGCGUAGAUGGGUUGUUAAGUCAGUUGUGAAAGUUUGCGGCUCAACCGUAAAAUUGCAAUUGAUACUGGCAGUCUUGAGUACAGGUGAGGUAGGAGGAAUUCGUUGUGUAGCGGUGAAAUGCUGAGAUAUCACGAAGAACUCCGAUUGCGAAGGCAGCUUACUAAACUGCCACUGACAUUGAUGCUCGAAAGUGUGGGUAUCAAACAGGAUUAGAUACCCGAGUAGUC